rnacentral:rRNA from 1 species
CUUGGUCAUUUAGAGGAAGUAAAAGUCGUAACAAGGUUUCCGUAGGUGAACCUGCGGAAGGAUCAUUAUUGAAAGUUUUGGGGGUACUGUUGCUGGUCUUUUACAAGGCAUGUGCACGUAUCUCUAAUCUAUUCAUCCACCUGUGCAUCUUUUGUAGAAGUUCUUUCAGGUUGGGCUAGCAAGGUCCCUUGGACAUUGUAUUUGGCUUAACAAGUAAGGCUUCUAUGUCUUUAAAAACCAGUUAGUAUGUUUAGAAUGUGUUGUAUUGGGACUUCAUUGACCCAUUAAACUAUACAACUUUCAGCAACGGAUCUCUUGGCUCUCCCAUCGAUGAAGAACGCAGCGAAAUGCGAUAAGUAAUGUGAAUUGCAGAAUUCAGUGAAUCAUCGAAUCUUUGAACGCACCUUGCGCCCUCUGGUAUUCCGGAGGGCAUGCCUGUUUGAGUGUCAUUAAAUUCUCAACUUCAUUAGUUUGUAAUGAACUACUUGAAGAUUGGAUGUGGAGGUUUUGCUGGCGUCUUAGUAUGUUCGGCUCCUCUUAAAUGCAUUAGUGGAACCCGUUUGUUGGACUAUCCAUAGUGUGAUAAUUAUCUACGCUUUGGUUGAUUCAAUGAACUCUAUAUGGACUCCUUUCAGAAUUGCUUAGGCAUUCUGGUGCGGGUAUUGUACUUGUUGCUUUACCUGGUUCAUUAGAGUUGGGACAUCUGCUCUCUAACUGUCUGCGUAUGCGGACAAAUUCUCGACAUUUGACCUCAAAUCAGGUAGGACUACCCGCUGAACUUAGCAUAUCAAUAGGCGGAUGAA